rnacentral:rRNA from 1 species
CGGUGCUGGAAGGUUAAGGGGAACUGUUAGAGCAAUCGAAGCAGUGAACUUAAGCCCCAGUAAACGGCGGCCGUAACUAUAACGGUCCUAAGGUAGCGAAAUUCCUUGUCGGGUAAGUUCCGACCCGCACGACAGGCGUAACGAUUUGGGCACUGUCUCAACAACAGACUCGGUGAAAUUGUAAUUCCGGUGCAGAUGCCGGAUACCUGCGACAGGACGGAAAGACCCCAUGGAGCUUUACUGUAGCUUGACAUUGGGUCUUGGUACUACAUGUACAGGAUAGGUGGGAGGCUUUGA